GUCGUGAACGGAGACCGAGUGAUGACGCGCGGACGAGGCCAUUUUCCAUCAUUCCAUGCUUUUCUUGGCCCCCUUCUAA